GAAUGCUGACAUAAGUAACGAUAAAGCGGGUGAAAAGCCCGCUCGCCGGAAGACCAAGGGUUCCUGUCCAACGUUAAUCGGGGCAGGGUGAGUCGACCCCUAAGGCGAGGCCGAAAGGCGUAGUCGAUGGGAAACAGGUUAAUAUUCCUGUACUUGGUGUUACUGCGAAGGGGGGACGGAGAAGGCUAUGUUAGCCGGGCGACGGUUGUCCCGGUUUAAGCAUGUAGGCUGGUUGUCCAGGCAAAUCCGGAUAAUCAAGGCUGAGGUGUGAUGACGAGGCACUACGGUGCUGAAGUAACAAAUGCCCUGCUUCCAGGAAAAG
rnacentral:rRNA from 2 species